UUUCUCUAAGUGGUGUGAGGAGCUGCACACGGAGGAGAAAGGAUUCUGGAAUGAGAGGGAUCUGUAUGUGUUCUGCCCAGUGGAGAACGCCUUGGCCAGGGCCAGAGUGAAGGCGAAUUAAUGAAGGAAAGAAAGAAAGCUGUGGCGUCAGGGCCAGCUAUAAAAGCAAAAUGGACAGAAGACACAGCCUCUCGAGUGUUGGAGCUGCGGGUGCGCACCAUCGUGCUGGUGCAUCGUGGCUGGGCUCUGGGCUGCUGAAGUGUUGUACUGGAUAACGGAAGUA
rnacentral:lncRNA from 1 species